AAGUCGUAACAAGGUUUCCGUAGGUGAACCUGCGGAAGGAUCAUUAGAAGGUUUUUUUUAGGUCGCUUAGGCGGCCGAAUGGAUUACAAAAUCCCCCCCACCGACGCACUUAUUGAAAGGACUAUUUAAACCAAACCUUUUUGACUAAAUUUUUGACUGACCUUUACUUUUAACGAGUAAAAAACUUAAUACAACUUUCAACAACGGAUCUCUUGGCUCUC
rnacentral:misc_RNA from 1 species